rnacentral:rRNA from 1 species
UGCUGCAUGGCUGUCGUCAGCUCGUGUCGUGAGAUGUUCGGUUAAGUCCGCUAACGAGCGCAACCCUCGCUGUGUGUUACAAGUGUCACACGGAACUGCCGGUCAUAAACCGGAGGAAGGUGGGGAGUGACGUCAAGUCAGCAUGGCCUUUAUAUCCUGGGCUACACACACGCUACAAUGGGAAGGGACAAUAGGUUGCGAAACCGCGAGGUGGAGCCAAUCCAGCAAAACUUCCCUCAGUUCAGAUUGCAGGCUGCAACUCGCCUGCAUGAAGUUGGAGUUGCUAGUAAACGCAGGUCAGCCAUACUGCGUUGAAUACGUUCCCGGGGCUU